rnacentral:rRNA from 1 species
GAUGAACGCUGGCGGCGUGCCUAAUACAUGCAAGUCGAGCGAACAGACGAGAUGGUUGUUUCUUUGACGCUAGCGGCGGACGGGUGAGUAACACGUGGGCAACCUACCUAUUAGACUGGGACAACUUCUGGAAACCCCGACUAAUACCCGAUAAGAUUUUGUGCCGCAUGGUUCGAUAUUGAAAGAUACGUCUGCGAUCGCUUAUAUAUCGACCUGCGCGCUGUUAGUUAGGUGGUAAGCGAACGGCCUACCAAAGCAACGAUAGUUAUGCGACCUGAGAGGGUGAAAGGCCCCCCUGGAAGGGAGAGACAGUCCAGCCUCAUACGGGAGGCAGCAGUCGGGAAGCAAUAGUAAUGGGCGAACGCAUGCCGGAGCAACGCAGCCUGAGUGCUGAAAGUAUUCGGAACGUAAAACUAUGUUAUUAGGGAAGAACACAAGAAGAAGUACCCGUGCACGUCUUGACGGUACCUAAUCAGAAAGCAACGGCUAACUACGUG